AGAGUUUGAUCCUGGCUCAGGACGAACGCUGGCGGCACGCUUAACACAUGCAAGUCGAACGAGAGAAGAGGAGCUUGCUUUUCUGAUCUAGUGGCGGACGGGUGAGUAACACGUGAGCAAUCUGCCUUUCAGUGGGGGAUACCGAUUGGAAACGAUCGUUAAUACCGCAUAACAUAAUUGAACCGCAUGAUUUGAUUAUCAAAGAUUUAUCGCUGAAAGAUGAGCUCGCGUCUGAUUAGCUAGUUGGUAAGGUAACGGCUUACCAAGGCGACGAUCAGUAGCCGGACUGAGAGGUUGAUCGGCCACAUUGGGACUGAGACACGGCCCAGACUCCUACGGGAGGCAGCAGUGGGGAAUAUUGCACAAUGGAGGAAACUCUGAUGCAGCGAUGCCGCGUGAGGGAAGAAGGUUUUAGGAUUGUAAACCUCUGUCUUCAGGGACGAAAAAAGACGGUACCUGAGGAGGAAGCUCCGGCUAACUACGUGCCAGCAGCCGCGGUAAUACGUAGGGAGCGAGCGUUGUCCGGAAUUACUGGGUGUAAAGGGAGCGUAGGCGGGAUCGCAAGUCAGAUGUGAAAACUAUGGGCUUAACCCAUAAACUGCAUUUGAAACUGUGGUUCUUGAGUGAAGUAGAGGUAAGCGGAAUUCCUAGUGUAGCGGUGAAAUGCGUAGAUAUUAGGAGGAACAUCAGUGGCGAAGGCGGCUUACUGGGCUUUAACUGACGCUGAGGCUCGAAAGCGUGGGGAGCAAACAGGAUUAGAUACCCUGGUAGUCCACGCCGUAAACGAUGAUUACUAGGUGUGGGGGGACUGACCCCUUCCGUGCCGCAGCAAACGCAAUAAGUAAUCCACCUGGGGAGUACGACCGCAAGGUUGAAACUCAAAGGAAUUGACGGGGGCCCGCACAAGCAGUGGAGUAUGUGGAUUAAUUCGAAGCAACGCGAAGAACCUUACCAGGUCUUGACAUCGUAUGCAUAGCUCAGAGAUGAGUGAAAUCUCUUCGAAGACAUAUAGACAGGUGGUGCAUGGUUGUCGUCAGCUCGUGUCGUGAGAUGUUGGGUUAAGUCCCGCAACGAGCGCAACCCUUACUGUUAGUUGCUACGCAAGAGCACUCUAGCAGGACUGCCGUUGACAAAACGGAGGAAGGUGGGGAUGACGUCAAAUCAUCAUGCCCCUUAUGACCUGGGCCUCACACGUACUACAAUGGCUGUCAACAGAGGGAAGCAAAGCCGCGAGGUGGAGCGAACCCCUAAAAGCAGUCUUAGUUCGGAUUGUAGGCUGCAACCCGCCUACAUGAAGUCGGAAUUGCUAGUAAUCGCAGAUCAGCAUGCUGCGGUGAAUACGUUCCCGGGCCUUGUACACACCGCCCGUCACGCCAUGGGAGUCGGUAACACCCGAAGCCUGUAGUCUAACCGCAAGGAGGACGCAGUCGAAGGUGGGAUUGAUGACUGGGGUGAAGUCGUAACAAGGUA
rnacentral:rRNA from 1 species